rnacentral:rRNA from 1 species
AUUGAACGCUGGCGGCAGGCCUAACACAUGCAAGUCGGGCGAGCGGAGGACGGGUGAGCAAUGUAUGGGGAUCUGCCUGAUGGAGGGGUAAAACUAGGGGAAACGGUAGCUAAUACCGCAUACCACCAGAUGAACCCAUAUGGGAUUAUCUUGUAGGUGAGGUAACGGCGCACCUAGGCGACGAUCCCUAGCUGGUCUGAGAGGAUGAUCAGCCACACUGGGACUGAGACACGGCCCAGACUCCUACGGGAGGCAGCAGUGGGGAAUAUUGCACAAUGGGCGCAAGCCUGAUGCAGCCAUGCCGCGUGUAUGAAGAAGGCCUUCGGGUUGUAAAGUACUUUCAGUCGGGAGGCGUUACCGGCAGAAGAAGCACCGGCUAACUCCGUGCCAGCAGCCGCGGUAAUAC